UGAGUAACACGUAUGCAACCUGCCUGCCACAGCCGGAUAAUCGGGAGAAAUUCCGUCUAAUACGGCAUAAUGCAUCGACGGGACAUCCUGUUGGUGCCAAAGGUUAAUUCCGGUGGCCGAUGGGCAUGCGUCGCAUUAGUUAGUUGGCGGUGUAACGGACCACCAAGACGACGAUGCGUAGGGGUUCUGAGAGGAAGGUCCCCCACACUGGUACUGAGACACGGACCAGACUCCUACGGAAGGCAGCAG
rnacentral:rRNA from 1 species